rnacentral:rRNA from 1 species
GACGAACGCUGGCGGCGUGCUUAACACAUGCAAGUCGAACGACGUGGCGAACGGGUGAGUAAUCCGUGGGUAUCCUGCCCUCCUUUUUGGGAUAAGCCUUGUAAACGGGGUCUAAUACCGCAUACAGGGGGAUGGGCUCGCGGCCUAUGAGCUGGUUGGUGGGGUGAUGGCCUACCAAUGCGGUGACGGGUAGCCGGCCUGAGAGGGCGAACGGCUACAGUGGGACGGAGAUACGGCCCAGACUACUACGGGAGGGAGCAGUGGGGGAUAUUGCACAAUGGGCGAAAGCCUGAUGCAGCGACGCCGAGGGGGGGAUGAAGGCUGUCGGGUUGUAAACCUAGUACGCUAACGAACGGGUAGGUGGAGAAGAAGCGCCGGCUAACUACGUGCCAGCCGCCGCGGUAAUAC